CUCAGAAUGAGCUUCCUGGUCACAGUGGAGAAGCUGCUCGGCUGGUACGACUUCAACCUCAACGGCAGGAUGUAGAAGGUCCGGACCUUGGCGUAGGUGUUCUCAUCAUGAGUCCACAUAAGCUUUGACUCCUUUUCAAAGGUAUGUAUCCUAUCCAGUAAUAGAACAGUGUUAACAGACCUAGCCUUGA